UACGGGGGGGGCAAGCGUUGUUCGGAAUUACUGGGCGUAAAGCGCACGCAGGUGGCUGAGUCAGUCGAUUGUGAAAGCCCUGGGCUUAACCUGGGAAUUGCAGUCGAUACUACUCAGCUAGAGUAUGGGAGAGGGUAGUGGAAUUCCCGGUGUAGCGGUGAAAUGCGUAGAUAUCAAGAGGAACACCUGAGGUGAAGACGGGUUGCUGGGCUGACACUGACGCUGAGGCGCGAAAGCCAGGGGAGCAAACGGG
rnacentral:rRNA from 1 species